rnacentral:tRNA from 1 species
AGCCUGGUAGUGAGUAACACGUCAAAUUGCAAAUUUGAAAGAGUCCCUUUUUGGUUCCGGGGCUU